GACGAACGCUGGCGGCGUGCUUAACACAUGCAAGUCGAACGGAAAGGCCCUGCUUUUGUGGGGUGCUCGAGUGGCGAUCGGGUGAGUAAUACGUGAGUAACCUGCUCUUGACUUUGGGGUAACUUCAGGAAACUGGGGCUAAUACCGGAUAGGAGCUCCUGCUGCAUGGUGGGGGUUGGAACGUUUCGGCGGUUGGGGUUGGACUCGCGGCUAAUCAGCUUGUUGGUGGGGUAGUGGCUUACCAAGGCUUUGACGGGUAGCCGGCCUGAGAGGGUGACCGGCCACAUUGGGACUGGGAUACGGCCCAGGCUCCAACGGGGGGCAGCAGUGGGGAAUAGUGCACAAUGGGCGGAAGCCUGAUGCAGCAACGCCGCGUGCGAGAUGACGGCCGUCGGGUAGUAAACCGCUUUCGCCUGUGACGAAGCGUGAGUGACGGUAAUGGGUAAAGAAGCACCGGCUAACUACGG
rnacentral:rRNA from 1 species